rnacentral:rRNA from 1 species
AGAGUUUGAUCAUGGCUCAGGAUGAACGCUGGCGGUAUGCCUAACACAUGCAAGUCGAACGAUGUCUUCGGACAUAGUGGCGGACGGGUGAGUAACGCGUGAGAAUCUGCCUCUAGGAUGGGGAUAACGGUUGGAAACGACCGCUAACACCCAAUAUGCCGUAAGGUGAAAAAUUUAUUGCCUGGAGAGGAGCUCGCGUCUGAUUAGCUAGUUGGUGGGGUAAGAGCUCACCAAGGCUUCGAUCAGUAGCUGGUCUGAGAGGAUGAGCAGCCACACUGGGACUGAGACACGGCCCAGACUCCUACGGGAGGCAGCAGUGGGGAAUUUUCCGCAAUGGGCGAAAGCCUGACGGAGCAAUACCGCGUGAGGGAGGAAUGCCUUUGGGUUGUAAACCUCUUUUCUCAGGGAAGAAGAUCUGACGGUACCUGAGGAAUAAGUAUCGGCUAACUCCGUGCCAGCAGCCGCGGUAAUACGGAGGAUGCAAGCGUUAUCCGGAAUCAUUGGGCGUAAAGCGUCCGCAGGUGGUUUCCAAAGUCUGCUGUUAAAGACUGGAGCUCAACUCCGGAACGGCGGUGGAAACUUGGAAACUAGAGUUCGGUAGGGGUAGCAGGAAUUCCCAGUGUAGCGGUGAAAUGCGUAGAUAUUGGGAAGAACAUCGGUGGCGAAGGCGUGCUACUGGACCGUAACUGACACUCAGGGACGAAAGCUAGGGGAGCGAAAGGGAUUAGAUACCCCUGUAGUCCUAGCUGUAAACGAUGGAAACUAGGUGUGGCU